GCCCAGAUGAGCGCCAGUGGUCUGGUGUGCGGCCUUCAAUCCCGUAGCUGAUAAGAUUAUGAGUGGUUCGAUUUCCCCCUUCCAGGCG